rnacentral:rRNA from 1 species
AUUGAACGCUAGCGGGAUGCUUUACACAUGCAAGUCGAACGAGAGGCGGACGGGUGAACAAUAUAUUGACACGUGCGCAGUCGCGCGGGAUAACUACUCUAACGCUUGGCUAAUAGCGCUAAAUAUUGGUGCGGCCGUUAUCGGAUUAGCUAGUUGGUGGGGUAAAGGCUCACCAAGGCGAAGAUGCGUAGCUGGUUUGAGAGGACGACCAGCCACACUGGGACUGAGACACGGCCCAGACGCCUACGGGAGGCAGCAGUGGGGAAUUUUCGACAAUGGGGGAAACCCUGAUCCAGCCAUGCCGCGUGUAUGAGAAGGUCUUCGGGUUGUAAAGCUCUGUUGUCAGAGAAGCGGUAUCUGAAGAAAAAGCACCGGCUAACUACGUGCCAGCCGCCGCGGUAAUUC